rnacentral:rRNA from 4 species
AAAUUGAAGAGUUUGAUCAUGGCUCAGAUUGAACGCUGGCGGCAGGCCUAACACAUGCAAGUCGAACGGUAACAGGAAGCAGCUUGCUGCUUUGCUGACGAGUGGCGGACGGGUGAGUAAUGUCUGGGAAACUGCCUGAUGGAGGGGGAUAACUACUGGAAACGGUGGCUAAUACCGCAUAACGUCGCAAGACCAAAGAGGGGGACCUUCGGGCCUCUUGCCAUCAGAUGUGCCCAGAUGGGAUUAGCUUGUUGGUGAGGUAACGGCUCACCAAGGCGACGAUCCCUAGCUGGU